UACGUAGGUGACGAGCGUUGUCCGGAUUUACUGGGCGUAAAGAGCGCGCAGGCGGUCGUUCAAGUCGAGUGUGAAAGCCCCCGGCUCAACUGGGGAGGGUCACUCGAUACUGAUCGACUCGAAGGCAGGAGAGGGAAGUGGAAUUCCCGGUGUAGUGGUGAAAUGCGUAGAUAUCGGGAGGAACACCAGUGGCGAAGGCGACUUCCUGGCCUGUUCUUGACGCUGAGGCGCGAAAGCUAGGGGAGCAAACGGGG
rnacentral:rRNA from 1 species